ensembl:snoRNA SNORA70 Small nucleolar RNA SNORA70
UUACAAUAACAAAAAUAUUUCAUUAACUAUCACUUUCCCCAUGGAGGUCUGAUGUGCAGUGGCUGCAAACAGCACCCUCCCUGGUAGUGUAUAUAGUGUGCUGCAUAUAUCGGUUACCCUAAGGGACCCUAGAGACAGCC